GAACAUAAUAAUCAGUUUACUACAUAUGUUGCAAGUCUGCCAAAUCUUCAUCAACAACAAGUAUUACAACUUUUAGUUGAAAAUAAUUUAAGAGCAAAGAAAUGCGAGAAAAUGCUGCAAAAUAUAACAGAAAAAACAUUAACGAACAGAAACAUGACAACAUCAAUAUCAGACAUAAAUGUGGACACUGAUGGUUUUUAUCCCAAGUAUCUUCCUGCACAAACACUUGCAGAUUUUCAUGCGGCUGAAGAUAAAUGGAAGAUAGAUAAAGGGUACAGAAAAAAUGUAUUGGAACUAUUUGUAAAAUGUAAAGGUAAUGACAUAAAAAACUACGUAUACCAUCAUGGGAAAAUUAAUGUCGGAUAGUGUAGCUAUGCUAUGUAGUUCGACUGGAGCAAAACAGAAUAAAGAAAAACUUGAGGAGUCAUCAAUUCACAAAGUUCUAGAAAGAAUUAUAAUGCAAUUGCAUAACGAUGCAACGCUAUAUGGAAUAAAAAAGUGUAUAACUGAUUGGCUAAGACAUGCUAAGGAAAGACAUGGAAACCUUCAAAUGAUAAUGACCAAGCGUGACUUAUCAAUAAUAUUACUUUAAGCGUUGUUAUAUUUAAGAAAUACUUUUAAGAGAUACGUUUUUUAAAGCUAUUUACAAUUAUGUUAUUUUUAAGAAACACUUUUGAGAGUUAUGUUUUUAGAGCGGCUAUUUACAGUUGUGUUAUUUUUAAAAAGUACCUUUGAGAGUUAUGUUUUUAGAGCGGCUAUUUACAGUUGUGUUAUUUUUAAGAAGUACUUUUGAGAGUUAUGUUUUUAAAGUGACUAACUUACAAAAUGUACUUCGAAUUGUCUUUGUAGCGGUAU